AAAAUGCCACAAAAUUAUUCUUUUUCCCCAUAUUUUCCAUUUUCCUAUAAUGUUGCAAAUAUUUUUUAAAUAAUUUUGGACGACUAAUUUUUCCAAUUUUCCCAUUCUUCCUUGCUUUUAUGGAGGAAAGAGUUGUUGGAGUUCCUUACUCUGCCAUUUUCACUGAAAAUCCAACAGGAGUUAAUCAUAAAGAAAGAAGAAGAGAACUCAACCAAGGAUGAUGAACUUGAAAUUUUAGUCAAGAAAAUAAAACAAAAAAAUUAAGAGAUGCA
rnacentral:lncRNA from 1 species